rnacentral:lncRNA from 10 species
CCUGCAUGUUUUGCACAUGCACCCUAAAACUUAAAGUAUAAUAAAAUAAAAAGUAAAAAAAAAGAAUGUGUAAGCAAAAACUCAGUUGUGUGUAAGAAAACCCAAUUGCCCCUAAAGAAGAGAAAGAGCUGGAGUCCUUAAAAAUUAACUGCCUGUUUUUCUGUGGCUAGUAAACCUUCUCUCUCCCUUUCCCAGGCAUUGUGAAGACUGUUUCUCUAGCUGUGAAGCUGCAAGGUCACUAGACAGAUAAUCUCAAGUCGUAAAACAUGUGUUCCUUGAAAAAGAUGCCCUGCUCAGAGAGGAGGAAUCUAGAGAGGCAGUUUGGCUACAGCGGCUUUGCUGCACUGCAGUGGGCUCCGCCCAGUUCGAACUUCCUGGUAGCUUCGUUUACACUGUGAGGGGAAAACCACCUACUGUUUCUAUUGAAGCACCAGUCACAAUAGCCAAAAUAUGGAAAAAACUUAAUUGUUCAUCAACGGUCAAAAGGAUAAAGAAAAUAUGGUAUAUAUACAUGAUGGAAUACUAUUUAGCCAUAAGAAAAAAUGAAAUCCAGUUAUUUGUGGCAACUUGGAUGCACCCGGAGGACAUUAUGUUACUUGAAAUACGUCAGGCACCUAAAGAUAAAUACCACAUGUUCUUACCCAUAUGUGGGGGGUUAAAAAGUUGAUCUUAUAGAAGUAGACAGCAGAAUAUUUGUUGCUAGAAGCUGGGAAGGGUAAGGGGUAGGGACAUGGGGAGAGGUUGGUUAAUAGAUACAAGGUUACAGUUAGAAAGAAUUAGUUCUAGUGUUUUACAGCACCGUAGGGUGACUAUAAUAAACAAUUUAUUGUAUAUUUUUAAAUAGCUAGAAGAGAGGAUUUUUAAUAUUACCAGUACAAAGAAAUAAUAAAGAUUUGAGAGGAUGGAUAUACUAAUUGCCCUGAUUUGAUCAUUACACAUUGUAUACAUGUUUGGAAAUAUCAUGCUGUACCCCAUAAAUAUGUACAACUAUUAUGUAUCAAAAAUAACAAAAGAACAAAUAAAAAAUAAAUAAUAUAUGUUUAAAAUACAUAAAGAGAUAAACCAGAUUAGGUUAAAAAUAGAACUACCAUCUGAUCCACCAAUCACACUACUGGAUUGUAUGGGAAAUGAAAUCAGUAUUUCAAAGAGAUAUCUGCACUCCCAUGUUCAUUGCAGCACUGCUUACAAUAGCCAAGAUAUAGAAUCAAAAUAAGUCUCCAAGAAUGGAUGAACAGAUAAAGAAAAAUCUGGUAUAUACACACAAUGGAAUGCUAUUCGCCAUAAAAGGAUGAAAUCUUAUCAUUUGCAAUCACAUAGAUAGACCUAAGGACAUCAUGUUACGUGAAAUAAGCCAGACACAGAAAUACAAAUACCACAUGAUCUAACUCAUAUGUGGAAUAUUAAAAAUAAAAGUUGACAUCAUAGAAGCAGAGAGUGGAACAGUGUAACAGUGGAUACCUGAGGCUGAGGAGGGGAGCAAAGGAGGGGAGGAUGGGGAGAGGAUGAUCAACAGGUACAAGCUACAAUUCAAUAGGAGCAAGUCUAUUGCUCAGUAGAGUGACUAUAGUUAACAGAAAGGUAUUAUAUAUUACAAAUAGCUAGAAGAGAGGCUUUUUAAUGUGCUUACCACAAAGACAUGAUAAAUGCAUGAGAUGAUAGGUAAACUAAGUACCAUGAUUUAAUUAUUUUACAACAUAUAUAUUCAUGGAAACAUCAAAUUGUACCACACAAAUAUGCACAUUUAAAAAUCAAAUUAAAAAAAUUAAAACAACGACUAUGGACAAAUGAGCUUAUGCAGCCCCACUUGCCCUAAGAGAAAUAUAGAUUUAUGAUACCCAAUUAUAAUAAAGAUAAAUAUGCUGAUUCAUGUAUACUUUAUGCCUGCACUUUAACUUAUAAACAGAGCUUCCUACCACUUUCAGUUUUAGGUCUCCUGGUUUGUGAACUGUUCUGUUGUAUGCACAAUACACUUUUUAAAAAUUUCUAGUUUUCAGCUGGCAGCACCCAGAUCAAUAAACUGACUCAGCACAAGAAGAUAGCUUGGACUCCCUAUGAUUUCAUCUCUGAUCUGACCAAUCAGCACUCCCGGCUCACUGGCUUUCCCCCACCCACCAAGCUGUCCUUAAAAACUCUGAUCUGAUCCCCAAAUGCUCAAGGAGACUGACUUGAGUAAUAAUAAAACUCCAGUCUCCCAGAAAAAAAAAGAAAAAAUUCUAGUUUCAUCUAAUUUUAUUCUUGACAGAAGAAAGAGAAAAAAAUAUGAGAGGCCAUUAUGGAAAGUGGGUAAAGGAGCAUUCUAAAGGAACCUAAUAUAAUUGCCAGACAGUGUCUCAG